GGCCAUCACCGGGAUCCAGGCCUUCGCCCCACCCAGGGGGGCGUAGAGGGGACACCCGGGACAUGGGGACACCUGGAACAACGGGGACAGCAGGGACAUGGAGACAUCCAGGACAUGGGGACACCCGGGACAUGGGGACACCCGGGACAUGGGGACAGCCAGGACAUGGGGACACCCAGGACAUGGGGACACCCAGGACAGCAGGAACACCCAGGACAUGGAGCCACCUGGACCCGGUGCCACCACCCGGACUCAUUGUCACUGCCUGGACCCGGUGUCACCAACAGGACCCAGUGUCACCAACAGGACCCAGUGUCACCAACAGGACUCGGUCUCACCGACUGGACCUGGUGUCACCAACUGGACCUGGUGUCACCAACCAAAUCGUGUGUCAC